AAACCGCGAUAACUGAUGUGAAUUGCAGAACUACGUGAAUCAUCAAAUUUUUGAACGCAUUACGCCUUCGAGCUUCGGCUCGAAAGCAGGCUUACUUGAGUGUUGGCUCUUUGUCUUAAUUAAUAAAUAAGCGCUUCCGUUUUUAAUUGAGGCCUUUUUAUUAAUUGAGGACUUGACAGUCAUAAGCUUAAUUUUAUUCGCUUACGUCUGUUUAAAUAUAGGCUCUAAACUGUAAAAUUAAGGGCUCUGUACUUAUCUCGCUAAAAAAACAAGCGAUUAACUGAUGAAGCAGGUACUUUAAUUUUAGCAAGCUCAAAGAGUUAACAACAACAAUAAUAAAUGCGUGUUUUUAUUUUAAAACUCGCAUCUAAAAUAUCAACCUCAAGCUAAGCCAGAACAC
rnacentral:misc_RNA from 1 species